rnacentral:rRNA from 1 species
GACGAACGCUGGCGGCGUGCUUAACACAUGCAAGUCGAACGGAAAGGCCCUGCUUUUGUGGGGUGCUCGAGUGGCGAACGGGUGAGUAACACGUGAGUAACCUGCCCUUGACUUUGGGAUAACUUCAGGAAACUGGGGCUAAUACCGGAUAGGAGCUCCUGCUGCAUGGUGGGGGUUGGAAAGUUUCGGCGGUUGGGGAUGGACUCGCGGCUUAUCAGCUUGUUGGUGGGGUAGUGGCUUACCAAGGCUUUGACGGGUAGCCGGCCUGAGAGGGUGACCGGCCACAUUGGGACUGAGAUACGGCCCAGACUCCUACGGGAGGCAGCAGUGGGGAAUAUUGCACAAUGGGCGGAAGCCUGAUGCAGCAACGCCGCGUGCGGGAUGACGGCCUUCGGGUCGUAAACCGCUUUCGCCUGUGACGAAGCGUGAGUGACGGUAAUGGGUAAAGAAGCACCGGCUAACUACGUGCCAGCAGCCGCGGUGAUACGUAGGGUGCGAGCGUUGUCCGGAUUUAUUGGGCGUAAAGGGCUCGUAGGUGGUUGAUCGCGUCGGAAGUGUAAUCUUGGGGCUUAACCCUGAGCGUGCUUUCGAUACGGGUUGACUUGAGGAAGGUAGGGGAGAAUGGAAUUCCUGGUGGAGCGGUGGAAUGCGCAGAUAUCAGGAGGAACACCAGUGGCGAAGGCGGUUCUCUGGGCCUUUCCUGACGCUGAGGAGCGAAAGCGUGGGGAGCGAACAGGCUUAGAUACCCUGGUAGUCCACGCUGUAAACGGUGGGUACUAGGUGUGGGGUCCAUUCCACGGGUUCCGUGCCGUAGCUAACGCUUUAAGUACCCCGCCUGGGGAGUACGGCCGCAAGGCUCAAACUCAAAGGAAUUGACGGGGCCCCGCACAAGCGGCGGAGCAUGCGGAUUAAUUCGAUGCAACGCGUAGAACCUUACCUGGGUUUGACAUGGAUCGGGAGUGCUCAGAGAUGGGUGUGCCUCUUUUGGGGUCGGUUCACAGGUGGUGCAUGGCUGUCGUCAGCUCGUGUCGUGAGAUGUUGGGUUAAGUCCCGCAACGAGCGCAACCCUUGUUCACUGUUGCCAGCACGUUAUGGUGGGGACUCAGUGGAGACCGCCGGGGUCAACUCGGAGGAAGGUGGGGAUGACGUCAGGUCAUCAUGCCCCUUAUGUCCAGGGCUUCACGCAUGCUACAAUGGCUGGUACAGAGAGUGGCGAGCCUGUGAGGGUGAGCGAAUCUCGGAAAGCCGGUCUCAGUUCGGAUUGGGGUCUGCAACUCGACCUCAUGAAGUCGGAGUCGCUAGUAAUCGCAGAUCAGCAACGCUGCGGUGAAUAAGUUCCCGGGGCU